rfam:Spironucleus salmonicida unplaced genomic scaffold scf7180000020473, whole genome shotgun sequence.
CCCCACUUAGCUCAGUUGGCAGAGCGUUUGGCUGUAGAGCUCUGUAGUUACCGAACGGUCACUGGUUCAAUUCCGGUAGUGGGGA